CCUGAGCACCAAAAAGCAGAUCCAUGGGAAGACUGUCAAGACACAAAAGGUUGUGUUCUUCACCAGAGGCAAACAUGAGCAAUAGCACGAGGGUCAAGCCUUUUCUUCCCCUCUCCUUUCUGUUGUUUCCUCUAUUCUUCAAGCCAUGUAACUUCC
rnacentral:lncRNA from 12 species